rnacentral:rRNA from 1 species
AUGAACGCUAGCUACAGGCUUAACACAUGCAAGUCGAGGGGCAGCAUGGUCUUAGCUUGCUAAGGCCGAUGGCGACCGGCGCACGGGUGAGUAACACGUAUCCAACCUGCCGUCUACUCUUGGACAGCCUUCUGAAAGGAAGAUUAAUACAAGAUGGCAUCAUGAGUCCGCAUGUUCACAUGAUUAAAGGUAUUCCGGUAGACGAUGGGGAUGCGUUCCAUUAGAUAGUAGGCGGGGUAACGGCCCACCUAGUCUUCGAUGGAUAGGGGUUCUGAGAGGAAGGUCCCCCACAUUGGAACUGAGACACGGUCCAAACUCCUACGGGAGGCAGCAGUGAGGAAUAUUGGUCAAUGGGCGAGAGCCUGAACCAGCCAAGUAGCGUGAAGGAUGACUGCCCUAUGGGUUGUAAACUUCUUUUAUAAAGGAAUAAAGUCGGGUAUGCAUACCCGUUUGCUUGUACUUUAUGAAUAAGGAUCGGCUAACUCCGUGCCAGCAGCCGCGGUAAUACGGAGGAUCCGAGCGUUAUCCGGAUUUAUUGGGUUUAAAGGGAGCGUAGAUGGAUGUUUAAGUCAGUUGUGAAAGUUUGCGGCUCAACCGUAAAAUUGCAGUUGAUACUGGAUAUCUUGAGUGCAGUUGAGGCAGGCGGAAUUCGUGGUGUAGCGGUGAAAUGCUUAGAUAUCACGAAGAACUCCGAUUGCGAAGGCAGCCUGCUAAGCUGCAACUGACAUUGAGGCUCGAAAGUGUGGGUAUCAAACAGGAUUAGAUACCCUGGUAGUCCACACGGUAAACGAUGAAUACUCGCUGUUUGCGAUAUACAGCAAGCGGCCAAGCGAAAGCGUUAAGUAUUCCACCUGGGGAGUACGCCGGCAACGGUGAAACUCAAAGGAAUUGACGGGGGCCCGCACAAGCGGUGGAGUAUGUGGUUUAAUUCGAAGCAACGCGAAGAACCUUACCAGCACUUGACAUCCAACUAACGAAAUAGAGAUAUAUUAGGUGCCCUUCGGGGAAAGUUGAGACAGGUGGUGCAUGGUUGUCGUCAGCUCGUGUCGUGAGAUGUUGGGUUAAGUCCCGCAACGAGCGCAACCCUUUCAUUAGUUGCUACGCAAGAGCACUCUAAUGAGACUGCCGUUGACAAAACGGAGGAAGGUGGGGAUGACGUCAAAUCAGCACGGCCCUUACGUCCGGGGCUACACACGUGUUACAAUGGGGGGUACAGAGGGCCGCUACCACGCGAGUGGAUGCCAAUCCCCAAAACCUCUCUCAGUUCGGACUGGAGUCUGCAACCCGACUCCACGAAGCUGGAUUCGCUAGUAAUCGCGCAUCAGCCACGGCGCGGUGAAUACGUUCCCGGGCCUUGUACACACCGCCCGUCAAGCCAUGGGAGCCGGGGGUACCUGAAGUGCGUAACCGCGAGGAGCGCCCUAGGGUAAAACUGGUGACUGGGGCU